ACUAUCUCUAGGUAGCUGAUUAGGCUUCUAGUACUGAGCAUGAUAUCUUUCUUGUGGAGUGGUCAUAAAGUCCUAUUACAGAGAUACUGGUUAGAACCAAGGCUUGUGUGCUGCUAUAGAGUCUUUCGGGUUAUCAAGUAGUGGUGAUACUUUUUGUGGUUCACAGUCAACACACCUGAGCAGAACUGUUGAUUGCAUGCCUCCUUUGGAAUCACCCUCAGGAAACAUGAUCGCUAGACCUUGGAGAAGAGGCUCUCAGCAUAUGUGCUACCUUUCCUGCUCAGCUCUGGUCAGCCAGUGGUGAUGGACCCUUUUUAUGUCAUGUGAAACCGGUGAGGGGCAGCCUUUGGGCCGGUGAAGUUAAAAAGAAUCAAGCGGAUAUUUGCAAGUCUCAAUCAUUGGCAUGGACUUUGGUGCAAAUCAAAGGCAGAGGAGGAGGAGGAGGAGGAGGAGACCUCAAAUAACAGAAAGAAGAUAUUCAAAUGACAAGAAAGUGGAAUAUAAAAAGGAAACUGAGAUUACAGGCCCAUUCUGUCUUUAUAAUAGAGCUAAUGUCUUGAAAUUGGAAUUAUAUAGUUUACUUGAAUAAUCGUGUUGAUAUCAAAAGAGAUUGCAAGUGCACACAUGCACACCCAGCAACAAUUUUUGCAAAUUAUGCAAUGUUUGAUGUUACAUGUUUUGAUGCUUACUCCUUGAGUGAGCCUUGAUAAGUUAUUUUGAUUUAGUAUUUGAGAAAAUUGGUUUAUCAUUUGAAAAGAGUCAAAUUAGGUUCAUUUUGAAGUACUUAUUUCCAAAAAGUAGAAAUUUUGUUGCUCCUCUUAUGAAAGAAUUUCUUCUUGGAAUCACAUGUGAAUAUUCUCCUGGGUGCUAAUAUAAAACUUAAGUAUAGUCAUUACACGCAAUAAUGUAUAUUAUCAUCACUAUUUCAUAGCCUAUGUUUUCUACCAAUAAGACCUUGAAUAAAUAGACUAUGCUCACU